rnacentral:rRNA from 1 species
UACGUAGGGUGCAAGCGUUGUCCGGAAUUAUUGGGCGUAAAGAGCUCGUAGGCGGUUCGUCGCGUCGGCUGUGAAAACCUGAGGCUCAACCUCAGGCCUGCAGUCGAUACGGGCGGACUUGAGUACUGCAGGGGAGACUGGAAUUCCUGGUGUAGCGGUGAAAUGCGCAGAUAUCCGAAAGAACACCGGUGGCGAAGGCGGUGGUCUGGGCCUGAACUGACGCUGAGGAGCGAAAGCCAGGGGAGCAAACGGG